ACACCUGACUCCACUAGCACAGUCUGCCCCUUCAAAACAAAAUCUGCCGAACCUGCUCAUUACACAAGGACAAGAAAUUUCCCGGCAACCUGUGAUUGCUAAUUUACCGAGGAUGGGCAGCAGGCUGUUGAAAGGAACGCCAAUUCUCCCGGGAUUCUCUUCCCGAACACAAAUCCAAGUGUUUAAUGCAAGAUUCACACUUCACUCAGCAUUAAGAACACAAGAAGGCAGCUUCAAAGGCUCUGUAUGGAGUUUUGUUUCUCCCCUUUGUCACUUUUUGCUGCCACUUUAUUAACUUUCCAAAUCUUAGUAGUUGCUUUCCCAUUCCUUAUUUAAACAUUAAUGAAACAUGAGUAACCUACACCAUUUCAUAAACCACCUUCCUUGUUAGAAUCAGAUUCCAGAGGGAAGUGAAAUUGAACAAACCAUAAAUUUGCUCCAGCCACUCUCCAUUCCAUAUUUUUGGAGCAUCUAAUGUAAGGCCCAGUGCUAGCUGAGGAAACAGCAGGGGAAACAAGAUAACCAGAGUUCCUGCCCUCAUAGAGCUUAUCUUCUAACCAUUCCAAGACGGGAGGAAGGCAGCAAACAAAUCCAUGGAUUGUGAUAGGCUUGUUACGAAGAAAAACCACAGGAUGCUGUGAGAAAGUAUGCAUGGCACAGGGGCCUGACCUUUGGCUGGGGGAUGAGGAAGGCCUCCCCGCAGAAGUGGCAUUAAAGCUGAGAUCUGUGAGUCGAGUGAAACUCGAUGAAGGUGGGUAUGGAGGGACAGGAGGGGGAAGAGAGAGAAGCAUUCCAAGCAGAGGGAACAAAAUAUGCAAAGGCCUGAAGCUGGAGAGAACACAAUGCUUCUGAGGUGAGGAAAGAAGGCAGGUUAUGAGAGGGAAAGUGUUCCAAGACAAGCUGGGAAGCUGGCAUAGCCAGAUGCUUCAGGACAUUGUAGACGACAGUUCGGAUUCAAAUCUCACCCUAAGAGCAAUAGGAACACACUGAAAGGUUAAAGCUUGUCCACUGAACUCAAAUUCCCUUGGCUACCUGUGAUUGAUAUAUCAAGAAGAAAACAGUAUGAAAAAGUGCUCUGGGGCUUCCCUGGUGGCGCAGUGGUUGGGAGUCCGCCUGCCGAUGCAGGGGACACGGGUUCGUGCCCCGGUCCGGGAAGAUCCCACAU